UUAACUCGAAUUUGUAUGGAGUCGGAACGGUUGCCUACUUCAGCCGCCAGGGCCGCUAUUCCAACCACAUACAAAUUUGAGUUA
rfam:Bombyx mori DNA, contig: Bm_scaf12_contig9726, strain: p50T/Dazao, build 2, whole genome shotgun sequence.